rnacentral:lncRNA from 1 species
AUGGCCCAGCAUUGGACAUACUGUCAUAAGCUUUCCUAUAAUACAGCCUCUAACAAAACUAGGCUGUCCCAAACCCUGGUAAUAGAGUUGUUUACUUUUAUACCAAGACAUUUGGGGAAACACCAACAUCUGCAUGUGGUGUGUACCCAGACACAUUUUGAGGGCUUCUUGCUGUGAGACCUGAAGUUCUUAUGAGGUUGUCUAGAAGGAAAAAAACAUGCUAGCAGGGCUUGUGGUGGUGCCAUGUGUGCUGAGUGUGUUUGUGGCAGGAUCAAGCAUGUGUUCCUUAUCAGGGAGCAGAAAAUCAUGAAAGAGUUCAAGGUACAAGCACAGAGUCAGAAUGCUAA